rnacentral:rRNA from 1 species
AGCCUGAACGCUGGCGGCGUGGCUAAGACAUGCAAGUCGCACGGGCCUAGCAAUAGGUCAGUGGCGAACGGGUGAGUAAAGAAUCGCUAACGUACCCCGGACUCUGGGAUAGCCAGUCGAAAGAUUGGGUAAUACCAGAUGACAUAUUCUUCCUGCAUGGGAGGAAUCUCAAAGGUCCGCGG